AAAUGCUGCUCAGUUUGGGCUUGGAUGGUAACGUUUAUUUUCCUUGGCAGAGAAGCUGAUCGUUGAAGGGCAUCUAACCAAAGCGGUAGAAGAAACAAAGCUUUCAAAAGACAAGAGCAAAAGAAUCUGAUUUUUCAGAUACUCUGAGUCCAAGCAAGGAAAAAAGCAGUGACGACACUACAGACGCCCAAAUGGAUGAGCAAGACCUAAAUGAGCCUCUUGCCAAAGUGUCCCUUUUAAAAGAUGACUUGCAGGGUGCACAGUCAGAAAUUGAGGCAAAGCAAGAAAUACAGCAUCUUCGAAAGGAAUUGAUCGAAGCCCAGGAGCUAGCUAGAACAAGUAAACAAAAAUGCUUUGAACUUCAAGCUCUUUUGGAAGAAGAAAGAAAAGCCUAUCGAAAUCAAGUUGAGGAAUCCACUAAACAAAUACAGGUUCUUCAAGCCCAAUUGCAGAGGUUACACAUCGAUAUUGAGAAUCUCCGGGAGGAGAAGGACAGUGAAAUCACAAGUACCAGAGAUGAAUUGCUUAGUGCCCGAGAUGAAAUUUUGCUCCUUCAUCAAGCGGCAGAAAAGGUUGCCU
rnacentral:sRNA from 1 species